UUGAUACUGGAUGUCUUGAGUGCAGUUGAGGCAGGCGGAAUUCGUGGUGUAGCGGUGAAAUGCUUAGAUAUCACGAAGAACUCCGAUUGCGAAGGCAGCCUGCUGGACUGUAACUGACGCUGAUGCUCGAAAGUGUGGGUAUCAAACAGGAUUAGAUACCCUGGUAGUCCACACAGUAAACGAUGAAUACUCGCUGUUUGCGAUAUACAGUAAGCGGCCAAGCGAAAGCGUUAAGUAUUCCACCUGGGGAGUACGCCGGCAACGGUGAAACUCAAAGGAAUUGACGGGGGCCCGCACAAGCGGAGGAACAUGUGGUUUAAUUCGAUGAUACGCGAGGAACCUUACCCGGGCUUGAAUUGCAACUGAAUGAUGUGGAGACAUGUCAGCCGCAAGGCAGUUGUGAAGGUGCUGCAUGGUUGUCGUCAGCUCGUGCCGUGAGGUGUCGGCUUAAGUGCCAUAACGAGCGCAACCCUUAUCGAUAGUUACCAUCAGGUUAUGCUGGGGACUCUGUCGAGACUGCCGUCGUAAGAUGUGAGGAAGGUGGGGAUGACGUCAAAUCAGCACGGCCCUUACGUCCGGGGCUACACACGUGUUACAAUGGGGGGUACAGAAGGCAGCUACACGGCGACGUGAUGCUAAUCCCGAAAGCCUCUCUCAGUUCGGAUUGGAGUCUGCAACCCGACUCCAUGAAGCUGGAUUCGCUAGUAAUCGCGCAUCAGCCACGGCGCGGUGAAUACGUUCCCGGGCCUUGUACACACCGCCCGUCAAGCCAUGAAAGCCGGGGGUACCUGAAGUACGUAACCGCAAGGAGCGUCCUAGGGUAAAACUGGUAAU
rnacentral:rRNA from 1 species